UUAAUUUAUUACUGAGAAAAAAAUACUUUAAAGUAAAUUGAGUGUAGCCUAAGUAUGCACUGCUUAUAAAGCCUACAAUAGUGUACAGUAAUGUCCAGGUCUUCACAUUCACUCACGACUCACCCACUUCUCAGACCAACUUCCAGUCCUACAAGCUCCAUUCAUGGUAAGUGCCUUAUACAGGUGUUAGGGACAAACUGCCCCCAAAAAGCUUCUUGAAAUGUCUCCGUGCUGCCCUCCGCUCCCCACUCUGCAACUCCUUUCCAUGCCGCCCCACUCUUUCCCUCAAGCCUGUUUACAUUUCUAAGCCCUUAUCUGGGUGCCAGCAAACUUUGCGGUGAAGCCAGCAAACUUCACUUAUCAGACCCCGCUGCUGUGAGCAAACCCCAAUUACAAACUAUCCGGACCACACAGGGGGAGGUCGUGGGAAGCAUAAACAAACUUUACCCUCCUGUAAGUUCCUGCUAUCAUAAAUGUCACCAGGUGAUAUUUGGCAAAAUUAACCAGCAAACACCCCCAGGAUGCGGCCGUACCAAAAAACUCCCUCAAACUCCCUCCCCAGUAUAAACCCCUCAUUCUGUAAGCUUGGCGCUACCUCCUCUGAGUGUGGUGGAGUAGCCCGGCUGGUUCAACAAAGUUACUCGCCUGACUUUGGGUCUAUUCUUCCUUCCCUCGGCUGCCCUUACAUUCUGGUGCCGAAAGCCCGGAAGGGGAUAGACUCUGGCCGGGACUCACUCUCUCCUCUCUCUCCCUCCCCAUCACCGCUCUCCUGGCCAUUCUCACCUUUCCCCAACCUGCCGAAGACCCAGAGAAUCUCCUAGGUUCUCCCUUUGCUGGCGACCUCAUCCACCAUCAAAACCUCCGCCAGGGUAUGUGGCAUUUUAUUUGAUUCACAAACAGCACCAUCAAUAACAACACCAGAAACCCCAAUCCACUAUUAUCUUCCUCAUUUCCAAGUUCUAGCAGAGGGUGUGGAGGAAGUGGACAUCUCUUAAUAUACCACAUAGCACCAGCUGAACCACCAAACUGCACUGGUAAACAGACUCAAUAAGAAAAACUGGACUGGUGAAUGGAAUUCUGUAGCUCUCAAGAUUGAAAUCUUCACCUAAUUGAUCAUUGAGCCUUUCAGCAAGAUCCUCUCAUAUUUAGGAAAGCAAAACAACACCAACAAGUCUCUAAGAGGAUGUAAUACAUAGUUAAUGUCUAUUCAAGUUUAAAACAAUCAUGAAAUGAUAAUUUCUGGAAAAUCCUACAUUACAAAAUUGAUUUGCAUGUGUUUACAAACCUCAAAAAACAUCCAGACAACCUUGUGAAACUGAUAUAUUUUCCCUUCAAUGGCUUAAGGGCCAAGUUUUAUUGCCAGUGGAUUCCUUCAAACUAUUAAUGAAUAGAGAGUUUUUGUGGUAACAAAUAUGUUUUAAAACUUGGCAGAAGAUAGAAAGCUUUCAUUUGUGAUUUAGGAAACUUGAUAGAGCAUAAAGAAUAGGAAGUAAAGUCUUAUUCAGUGGUCAAGGCUGCGUGAGCAGCUCUCACUUCCCUUCUUCCGCUGGAAACUUUUUCCAGGUGAGCUCAACUCCCAGCUUCCCUAGGACCCCAAGGAGCAGAAGGUCUUUGGCCUGCAUCAUUCACAGUAAUGGGAAUAAGAGUGGAGUUCCAGUCCCUGUUGGGUCAGACAGGGAGCAGAGAGAGAGAGGCUGCUGGGUGCCUGGGUCCUGGGGCUGCCACACUCCCUGCAGGGGGUUGGCUCAGUGCCAGGCACUCUGCUCACCUGAGGGUUUGGGACUGGGAAUAAGCCUAUGUGAUUUUGCCAAAGAGAGUUUUCUAGACUCUACGAAUGUGUUGUCAGAAGGAAAUUAUCCAUGGAGUCUUGCUGACUCCCGCACUUAUAACACCUGCACCAAGUGACCAUCUCUGUGUCCCAAAACUUUCAUUUCAUGUUUGUAGGACUCUAGAAAGCUGUCCUCUAAUGUCAUAAGUAAAGUGCUCAGCCCUCUACCUUUCUCUGCUGAUACUGGCUUCCCUUUUGAGGCUACUCAUUACAAAUAGGAUUCUACGUCCACUCAAAGUCACUUCAAGAGGGAUUCACCAGUCCUGGCAAUCUUUUCCUGUCUUAAAUGCCCCGAUUUCUCCCUCCCAAUCCCCCUCCAUAGUUUCCUAGGGCACAUGCCAACUUUUACUAUCUCUGUGUCUUCCCAGAUGGCAUAGUCCCAGGAGCUAGGAAGGUUGGAUAUUACAUUUCCUGAACAUGGUGAGCAACACCUCACCCUACCCUCAAUCUUCUGGGAAAGGGGUGCCUCCAGAACUAGAACCUGCCCUUGCUGGACAAUUUUUUGAGUUAAACACAUUUCCCCCAAGGUCUGAGGUGGCAGUUUUCUGUUCCUCGUGGUUGCUGAUCACACAGGUCAGGCUGGCAUUGCACUGGCUCAGUGGCAGGCUCACGGCCAGGGUCCCGGGGUUGUAGGCUGGUCCUGGCAUCCCUGUCUGGUCCAGCUCUCUGGGGAGGCCUUUGCUCUCUCUCAGGUCACAUUUAGGUCCUCUGUGGCUCUUGGAGCCCUGCCCUCUUGGGUAAAUUUUCAGCAGUCUGGUGUGAUGGACGGUGACCUGGUUGGGACCUGGAAAAGGGGCACAGGCUCUGGGGUAGAAUGGGACAGAAGAAUUAAUGCACUUGUAGAGCACACUCCUCAUCCAUUAUCUCAAUACUUUCAGAGCACCUACUGGGCAGGCAGGGCACUUUGCAGCCAGAGAAACAGGCUUGGGGAAGUGAAACAGUUUACCCAAAGUGAUACACUGAGAAAGUGCCACAGAGCCCCAGAUUUAGAGAAGAGACGGCAACCAAAGUCUCUCAGCUUCCUCCACCACCCAUACUCCCUUCUCUUGUUCUGCACACACGUCAUCUGAUCCUUCACAACUCUCAUAGCACUUGGAAGGUAAAUUCAAACCUCUAGGGAAAAUACCUGCCACAUACAGAAUUUACAAAGGAGUUUCUGAAAACUGGUUUUAAGGCCCAUAAGCUGUCACCUAUACCAAUGACAUUAAGAGAUUAGAAUUUGGAGAUACGGUGGAAGGUGGAGAGAGUUAUGCUGCAAGUCCCCUUCCCACCUCAUGGGUACCCACCCCUCCCUUCGAUCCUAGUGAGCAAAGUUCAAUGAUACCAUUCAGACAGCUUGAUAUGUCCCAUGCGGAUUGGGGAUGCACUGAACGGUGUCUGAUCCAUACCUGAGAUAGCCAAGGGGGGAGAUGCUGCCGAAAUAGCCUAUGGUACCAGAGUAUUGGCUGCCACUAGGGAAGAAAUUGCAGUGCCAUUGAUGAACAUAUUUUUCAUCGUCCAGAUGCAAGUACUUAACAGAACUGUGUUGAGAGCCAAAAGGAGGAGUAAUAGAACCCCAGUAGAGAGAUUGUGUAGAAACGGACUAGCUAUGGGCUGGGCACAGUGGCUCACGCCUGUAAUCCCAGCACUUUGGGAGGCCGAGGUCAGGAGAUGGAGACCAUCCUGACUAACACGGUAAAACCCUGUCUCUACUAAAAAUACAAAAAAUUAGCCGGGUGUGGUGGUGGGCACCUGUAGUCCCAGCUACUGGGGAGGCUGAGGCAGGAAAAUGGCAUGAACCCUGGAGGCAGAACUUGAAGUGAGCCGUGAUCACACCACUGCACUCCAGCCUGAGUGAUAGAGCAAGACUCCAUCUCAAAAAAAUAAAAAUAAAAAAAUAAAAAAGAAAAAAAGAAAGAAAUGGACCAGCUAUGUACCAGGGGUAAAAAAGACAGAAAUGCUCACCCCUUGAGUAUAUUACCUGUAAAGGAAUAGAUGGCAGAUUCCCAGCACGAGGGAGGAGAAGUAUCUAAAGAACCUAUGAAAAUGCCCCAUGGGAGAAAGAAUCACGCUAAUCACUGUCGAAUCCAGAGGACGAACUGCUUGAUGACGACAACGGGAUGAGCCAGGGAAGGCUCUUCCCGACUCCUCAACUCCAUCCUCUUUUCUGCUCCUCUCUCCUUUCCCAUCCCCAUGGACUGGGGAAGGGAGUUCCCCCACAUUGAUAUUAUCUAUAAUUAAUAAAAUACUUCUCUUGCUCAUUUUGAAAGUCAAAGAUGAACACUGAGUUCUGCAUUCUCUGUGGCCUCCACCUGAAGCAGUAGCUGCCUGGCCCAAAAGUGUUGGAGGUUUUUGGGCAACAGAAAAUAUAAGAAUAAUAAGGACAUUUUGGAAACUCCCAGACAAGAAGGCACUUCAGCUGACUCAGGAAGCCCCUCCUAAUGAUCUGAUGAUAGAAUAUGCUCAAUAAAAAUAUAAUAAAAAUGUUUUGUAUAAUUUAGUUUCAACAAAACUCCAGUUAUGGAGAGUUCCAAGGGAGAAUUUUGUGCUAAAGAGAUGAAUGGAAUUUGAAGUUCUGGUGGCUCCAGGGGGUAUCAGAAGCAUACGUUAGAGGCCCAUGUUAAACGACCCUACAUGGAAUGAUGCCUGGGCUCAGGGUUCCAGCAUGUGAUAAGAAUUCACACCCACACCAUGCACAGUACAGUGCAGCUGUCAGCCCCCUUAGCUGAUUUCCCAGGCCAGAAGACAGAAACCUUCCCAUCAGAGUUUCAUCCCAGUUCCUCAUCUGCCUUUCUGCAGCUUCUCUACAAGCACAAGCACAGCCUAGGCACAGUGGAAUCAGGCGCCUCCAGGAACCACAGAGGUGGGAGGUGCUCCAGCCCCAGUGGUGGAAGCAGGAGGCUUCAUUAGCCCCAGACACCUACCCUAGACAUGGGCUGCCUGGUUUUCCUAAGGGUCUUUAAUCUUUUCUUAUACACAUUGUUUUCUUGGAAGCAUCGACUGUGUUCUUUAUCUCCUCCUAAUAUAUUCAUUGGUCUUUCUCAGAUCCUCAUUCGACGCUGGCUUUGGGGCAGUUCUCCACCUAAGCUAAAUGUAUUACAGCUUAGGCACACACCAUAGACAAAGAUAAAAUUGUGUAAAAGCUAGAGGUAGAAAAGACAGACCAUCUGCAAAGCAAUGUUGAGAAAAUGAUAGCCCAGCAGUAAUGUAUAUUGUAUGAUAUCUUCAGUGGUUUGUAGAAAAUAAUUGCCAGCUUUAAACUGUAUACCUGAGUAAACUAUCUUCAAAAAUGAG
rnacentral:lncRNA from 10 species